AUGAAGAAAUUCCUCGUCCUUGCCCUCAUUGUUGUCGCGGCGACCACCACGGCCGCCGAACCCUUUACUGCAUUCCGUACUGCUUGGGAGCCGCACCAUCCAUCAUCUCCAGAGCAGCAACCAACUCCACAGCCACAAGAACAACCAGUUCCACAUCAAAAGUUGAACCCAUGCAGGGAUGCCCUCCUACAACAGUGUAGCCCAGUUGCUGAUAUGUCGUUCCUCCGGUCACAGGUGGUGCAACAUAGCAGCUGCUUGGUAAUGUGGGAGCAGUGUUGUCAGCAACUAAAAGCGAUCCCCAAGCAGUCAAGAUGUGAGGCCAUCCACAACGUCGUGCACGCCAUCGUUUUGCAACAGCAACAACAAUUGGUACAAGGUAUUUCCACCCAACCUCAGCAGCAACAACAACAAGGUCAACAACAACAAGGUCAGGGUUCUAGCCAGCCACAACAACAAACACAACUGGAUCAGGGUUGGAUUGCGGUGAUAGGGACAUGGGUGAUUCAGACCAUUCCGGCAAUGUGCGACGUGCAUGUUCCACCAUACUGCUACACCACCAUAUCACCAUCCAUUGACGUCACUACCGGCAUGGGCGGCUACUGA
rnacentral:rRNA from 1 species